UACAGAGGGUGCGAGCGUUAAUCGGAAUUACUGGGCGUAAAGCGUGCGUAGACGGUAGCGUAAGUCAGAUGUGAAAGCCCCGGGCUCAACCUGGGAAUUGCAUUUGAGACGGCUCUGCUCGGGUGCGGAAGAGGGAAGCGGAAUUUCCGGUGUAGCGGUGAAAUGCGUAGAUAUCGGGAGGAACACCUGUGGCGAAAGCGGCGCACUGGACCAUAACUGACGCUGAGGCGCGAAAGCUAGGGGAGCAAACAGG
rnacentral:rRNA from 1 species